rnacentral:rRNA from 1 species
UUUCGCCUCAAUCAGGUAGGACUACCCGCUGAACUUAAGCAUAUCAAUAAGCGGAGGA